rnacentral:rRNA from 1 species
UACAGAGGGUGCGAGCGUUGUUCGGAAUUAUUGGGCGUAAAGGGCGCGUAGGCGGUGCGGUAAGUCACCUGUGAAAUCUCCUGGCUCAACUGGGAGCUUGCAGGCGAAACUGCCGUGCUGGAGUGUGGGAGAGGUGAGUGGAAUUCCCGGUGUAGCGGUGAAAUGCGUAGAUAUCAGGAGGAACACCUAUGGUGUAGACAGCUUACUGGACCACUUCUGACGCUGAGACACGAAAGCGUGGGUAGCAAACAGG